rnacentral:rRNA from 1 species
UACGGAGGAUUCAAGCGUUAUCCGGAUUUAUUGGGUUUAAAGGGUGCGUAGGCGGUCGGAUAAGUUAGAGGUGAAAUCCCGAGGCUCAACUUCGGAAUUGCCUCUGAUACUGUUCGGCUAGAGAGUAGUUGCGGUAGGCGGAAUGUAUGGUGUAGCGGUGAAAUGCAUAGAUAUCACGCAGAACCCCGAUUGCGAAGGCAGCAUGCCGGCUUCCGACUGACGCUGAAGCACGAGAGCGUGGGUAGCGAACAGG